rnacentral:misc_RNA from 1 species
UCACUACUUGCGUAGGCAGUCUACCUAGAGUGCUUCCCUAAAAAGGGCGAGCAACUAAGUACAGGGGUUGCGCUCGUUGCAGGACUUAACCUAACAUCUCACGACACGAGCUGACGACAGCCAUGCAGCAUCUGUACCGGACCCCUUGCGGGUAAUACCCUUUCAGGUACUAAAAUCCGGCCUUUCAAGCCUAGGUAAGGUUUUUCGCGUAGCAUCGAAUUAAACCACAUGCUCCACUGCUUGUGCGGGCCCCCGUCAAUUCCUUUGAGUUUCAACCUUGCGAUCGUACUUCCCAGGUGGAUAACUUAAUGCGUUAGCUCCGACACUGAUCCUUGCGGACCAACAUCAAGUUAUCAUCGUUUAGGGCGUGGACUAC